rnacentral:rRNA from 1 species
UACGUAGGGCGCAAGCGUUAUCCGGAAUUAUUGGGCGUAAAGAGCUCGUAGGCGGUUUGUCGCGUCUGCUGUGAAAGACCGGGGCUCAACUCCGGUUCUGCAGUGGGUACGGGCAGACUAGAGUGCAGUAGGGGAGACUGGAAUUCCUGGUGUAGCGGUGAAAUGCGCAGAUAUCUGGAGGAACACCGGUGGCGAAGGCGGCAUCCUGGACCAAUAUUGACGCUGAGGAGCGAAAGCCAGGGGAGCAAAGCGGG